rnacentral:lncRNA from 1 species
AAGUCCCUGGCCACUGCAUCCACCAUCGGGAGGAACCUCUGCACAGCGUUGGGCGACAGCACUUCUGGAUUCAGCCGCAAUCGGUUGAAGCGCCAUUCAGGCCCAUUCCUACAGAGGCCAGGGCAGAGCUUGUGAGGCCGCCCCAGCAAGACACAGGCCCUGACCCGUAUCCCAUCCUCCUUGUCCCCAAGGGGAAUCGGCCUGCAGGGAGCUGACUGGGGGCCCUGGUAGAAGCUGCCUGUUUGUGUUCGAGCUGCAGCCUUUUCUCAGAGCGGCCUCCAGGUGCUGGACAAAGGCCACUCAGGUCUAAGCAGGGAUGAGAUGGUAGCUUCUGCCCACAGGUGCUGACAGGGUAACUGAGGUCAUUCCCGGGACCUGGCGACCCAAGUCUGGCACCACCUCACCCAUGCGGGCCCUCCCUGUAGUAACAGGGUAGGGCUUUUCU